rnacentral:rRNA from 2 species
GUGGAUCAGUGGCGAACGGGUGAGUAACACGUGAGUAACCUGCCCUCCACUCUGGGAUAAGCGCUGGAAACGGCGUCUAAUACUGGAUACGACCGACCCUCGCAUGGGGUGUUGGUGGAAAGAUUCAUCGGUGGUGGAUGGACUCGCGGCCUAUCAGCUUGUUGGUGGGGUAAUGGCCUACCAAGGCGACGACGGGUAGCCGGCCUGAGAGGGCGACCGGCCACACUGGGACUGAGACACGGCCCAGACUCCUACGGGAGGCAGCAGUGGGGAAUAUUGCACAAUGGGCGAAAGCCUGAUGCAGCGACGCCGCGUGAGGGAUGACGGCCUUCGGGUUGUAAACCUCUUUCAGCAGGGAAGAAGCUUUUGUGACGGUACCUGCAGAAGAAGCACCGGCUAACUACGUGCCAGCAGCCGCGGUAAUACGUAGGGUGCGAGCGUUGUCCGGAAUUAUUGGGCGUAAAGAGCUUGUAGGCGGUUUGUCGCGUCUGCUGUGAAAAUUCAGGGCUUAACCCUGGACGUGCAGUGGGUACGGGCAGACUAGAGUAUGGUAGGGGAGACUGGAAUUCCUGGUGUAGCGGUGGAAUGCGCAGAUAUCAGGAGGAACACCGAUGGCGAAGGCAGGUCUCUGGGCCAUUACUGACGCUGAGAAGCGAAAGCAUGGGGAGCGAACAGGAUUAGAUACCCUGGUAGUCCAUGC